AUGUUUCAGAUGCUUUCUCAGCAUGACUGGAAUACGGUCCAAGGAACUGAGCCUCUGCUGAGUACAAUACUUGCCUUUGGAAAUGCAUUCUUAGAUCUCCAAGACCCUGUGAAGAUGCAAUACAUCACCAAGGAAAUGACUCUCUAGUGUUCUAUUUCAAUACAUCACUGGUACAAUGAUUAUUUAAUAAUGUAUUGUCAAGUGUCACAUAUCAAGAGAACACUGUGGAACAAAGAAAUCACUAUUUAUUAUUAGUACUACGUGUCAUCGUGUCAUCGCAGAGUCACCAGCUGAUGCUCAAGGUCACGAACCCAGAUCGAAGAGUCUACACAAUAGUUAUUAUGGUAAGCAGUAUGAUUAAUCCAAGUUCAACAUAAUUAAGCUUGCCUUGAAGAUCCUUAAAGAGUAAUUGUGAUAAUUUUGAUGGGGAGGCAAACAUUGCUUAUGUUACCAACUGCUAGGUAGAAAUUUUUGUUGUUGUUGUUGUUGUUGUUGUUGUUAUUGUUGUUGUUGUUGUUGUUGCUAUUUCUUGGGCCGCUCCCGCGGCAUAUGGAGGUUCCCAGGCUAGGGGUCCAAUCGGAGCUGUAGCCACCAGCCUAUGCCAGAGCCACAGCAACGCGGGAUCUGAGCUGCGUCUGCAACCUACACCACAGCUCACGGCAACGCCGGAUCGUUAACCCACUGAGCAAGGGCAGGGACCGAACCCGCAACCUCAUGGUUCCUAGUCGGAUUCGUUAACCACUGUGCCACGACGGGAACUCCAAGAAAUUUUAAUAUAAAUUUUAUUUUAAUAAUUUGUAGCUAUUACUUAUAACCUAUUCACAUGUCAUCUGAAUUAUGACUUGCUUAUUUCUUUAUGAUUUUGGUAGAUAUGUUUAUUUUGAGGAAAUUUUAUAUGCUGUACAAAUGAUACAUUUUUGCUAAACUACUAUACCUCUCUUCUACCUACAAAUAUCACAUAUCUUUUCUCCUUAAUUUAAAAAUGUAAAGCCUAUGCAGUAAAAUUGUCAUUGGAAAAGACUCAUUUAAUUGAUUUAUAUUAUUUGCAUAAAUAGCUUUCCUCUAGUUAUUUAUUUAAAUUAUUUCUACAUCACUCUUCCCAAAGGACCAGUUUUCAUCUUAUGGAAUCCUAUUAAAAUUUUCCUUAGAAAGUAAAGAAAAAGACUACCAUAUUUCAAUCUUCCACUGAGAAAAUAUUUUAUGAUAUUUUUGUUGCCUCUUCCUGAGACCAAUAUGAUUAUUCCUGUUUUAUCAAGUGAGCCUUUGGAGAAGUUAUAUAGUCUCAGAAAAUAAUUAAAAAAAAACAUUCAAGUAAAUAAUAUUUAUUUUUGAAAAGGAAGAAACAUUUAAUAUUUUGAGGCCAGGAUUCUCCAUGAUACUAUGUCUACCCUGAUAUUAAAUAAGUAUAUUUAAAAAUUACAGAACUACUAAGAACAUUUGAUAAAAUCAUAGGAUAAAAGAUUCACUUAUAAAAGUCAAUUAUACUUCUCUUUGCUGGAAGGAAAAUUUGGAAAUUAAAAUUCUAAAAAUAAAAUUAAAAAUAUCAAACCUAAUAAUUAAUAU
rnacentral:lncRNA from 1 species